rnacentral:tRNA from 2 species
GCGGCAUUAGCUCAGUUGGUAGAGCACUGGAUUGUGGCUCCAGGUGUCACGGGUUCGAUUCCCGUAUGUCGCCCCA